rnacentral:rRNA from 1 species
GAUGAACGCUGGCGGCGUGCCUAAUACAUGCAAGUCGAGCGAACAGACGAGGAGCUUGCUCCUCUGACGUUAGCGGCGGACGGGUGAGUAACACGUGGAUAACCUACCUAUAAGACUGGGAUAACUUCGGGAAACCGGAGCUAAUACCGGAUAAUAUAUUGAACCGCAUGGUUCAAUAGUGAAAGACGGUUUUGCUGUCACUUAUAGAUGGAUCCGCGCCGCAUUAGCUAGUUGGUAAGGUAACGGCUUACCAAGGCAACGAUGCGUAGCCGACCUGAGAGGGUGAACCGCCCAACCGGAACCGGGAACACGUCCCGAAUCCUACGGGGGGGAGGAGUAGGGAAUCUUCCGCCAUGGGGGGAAGCCUGAAGGAGCAAAGCCCGGGGAGUGAUGAAGGUUUUUGGAUCGUAAAACCCUUUUUUUUGGGAAAAAAAAAUGGUUAAAUAAAUAUGCCCCUCUUGGAGGUACCCAAUCAAAAAGCCCGCGGUAAAUUCCUG